UACGUAGGGGGCAAGCGUUGUCCGGAUUUAUUGGGCGUAAAGCGCGUGUAGGCGGCCCGGUAAGUCCGCUGUGAAAGUCGGGGGCUCAACCCUCGAAUGCCGGUGGAUACUGUCGGGCUAGAGUGCGGAAGAGGCGAGUGGAAUUCCUGGUGUAGCGGUGAAAUGCGCAGAUAUCAGGAGGAACACCAAUUGCGAAGGCAGCUCGCUGGGACGUGACUGACGCUGAGGUGCGAAAGCGUGGGGAGCAAACAGG
rnacentral:rRNA from 1 species